UUUGUGUGCACCCGGUGCGUACUAAUAUUUUAUAUACUAUUUAGAAUAUUAUAUAAUUGAUGAAGUAUUUGAUGAUUAAUCCCGUAUAAUAUGAUAUAAUAUAAUAAAAAAAUUAAAUAAUUUAUUAUACGACUGAACUUUUAUCUGUGAUGUAUAUUUUAGAAUUGGUUUACGGUGCAACAGGUGUGUCCAAAUUUUUCGAAAGAUAUGUGUCAAGGUUUUAUUG
rnacentral:lncRNA from 1 species